CGACCGGCGCACGGGUGCGUAACGCGUAUGCAACCUACCAUAAACAGGGGGAUAACACUGAGAAAUUGGUACUAAUACCCCAUAAUAUCUCAUGCGGCAUCGCAUGGGGUUGAAAACUCCGGUGGUUGAUGAUGGGCAUGCGUUGUAUUAGCUGGUUGGUGAGGUAACGGCUCACCAAGGCGACGAUACAUAGGGGGACUGAGAGGUUAACCCCCCACAUUGGUACUGAGACACGGACCAAACUCCUACGGAAGGCAGCAG
rnacentral:rRNA from 1 species